rnacentral:rRNA from 1 species
GACGAACGCUGGCGGCGUGCUUAACACAUGCAAGUCGAGCGGUAAGGCCUUUCGGGGUACACGAGCGGCGAACGGGUGAGUAACACGUGGGUGAUCUGCCCUGCACUUCGGGAUAAGCCUGGGAAACUGGGUCUAAUACCGGAUAUGACCUCCUAUCGCAUGGUGGGUGGUGGAAAGAUUUAUCGGUGCAGGAUGGGCCCGAGGCCUAUCAGCUUGUUGGUGGGGUAAUGGCCUACCAAGGCGACGACGGGUAGCCGACCUGAGAGGGUGACCGGCCACACUGGGACUGAGACACGGCCCAGACUCCUACGGGAGGCAGCAGUGGGGAAUAUUGCACAAUGGGCGAAAGCCUGAUGCAGCGACGCCGCGUGAGGGAUGACGGCCUUCGGGUUGUAAACCUCUUUCAGCAGGGACGAAGCGCAAGUGACGGUACCUGCAGAAGAAGCACCGGCUAACUACGUG